UUUGCGUUCGUAACGGAUUCCGCGAAAACAGCUGUAGUUGCCGGGAGGGUGGAAGUGGUUCAUCAGCUCCUGGCUGCGGUCCUAUUGGCACGUCCAUGGAACAAAAUGAGAUUUACUCCCUGAGGAGGGAUGUAUGGGAUCGGACCGCCAACCUACUUCCACCGACGGUCGUAUUACUAAAACAAAUAGGAUUUACUCUCGAGUAAAUUUACUUGAGAUUAGGCUCUUAUAGUUGGAAAGAAAACAGAAGCAGAACAAAUGCUUCGUGAUUGGCUAGGAUUGAACGUGCUCGGUGGCUUCCAAUGCCGCUGCUUUUCUUAACAUUUCCUUUAAUUCAUAAAUCCUGGAAAAUCGGAGAGAAUUCCUCCUCCCUCCCUCCUCCUUUAAAAAUCUGAUUUACGUGUAUCGUGUAACAUCCAGCUCCCCCUUAAUGGGGAGAGGGGAUAGCCAUGCAGCAGGGAUACCAUGUGUUUGCCGCUUGGUUUUCUUUUUAAUUAAAAGGAUAGAUGUGUACCGCGUUGCUAGAGGGCAUCUCAGAAAACGAUUUUUAAAAGGGAAAAGAGUAAAAAAAAUUAAAAGGUUCACAGAAUGGUGGGGUGUUUCAACUGUGUAGAAAAUAGUCUUGCUAGUGACCAACAGGCGGUGACUUUAACUGAAACUCUCAAAGUGCAAUGGGUAUGGAAGAAGAGUGUCUUUUUAGUAGCAAUGUCACAGGCAUUAGUCAACAGGCGUUCCUUGUAAAGCUUCUUAAAUACAUUUCCGGCAGCACUUCAAACUACAACUGGCUGAUGGGAAGGGGUAAUCAAUCAAUCAAAAUAUUGUGCUUUAUUGGUGUGAAAAUGCUGUUUCCACGUAAAAGAUACUCUGUCUGAGGGGAAAAUAUGUGGAUUUUUAACAAGUGAGUGACAACUGCACAUUCCUCAUGCAAUAAAGCAAAGUGCUUUUAGGCAUGAGUGGUAAGGUAGUGCCUUCCGCCCCUGAUGGCACAAACGUUCAUAGUUAAAGGCUAGAACUCCAUUCGCAUCAGCCUAUCUCUUGAUUAUAGGGAAUUAAAUUAUUGACGUGGCAUUCUUCCAUCCUACUAACGUGCCAAGAACUCCCUGAUCUGAAGAGGAAUACUUCCCUUUACUAGGUCAGCCUCUACUCCUCUGCUAAGGAGAGGAUUCUUCUUGCUUUGCUGCACUAGGGACUGGGGACAGAGACUUUACCUCAAAGAGCACAGUAUUCUACAAUUCAGAGUGCAAUCCUAUGCAGAGUUAAACCAGUCUAAGACCAUUAAUAUAACUGGUUUAACUGAUUAAGCUGGAAUAACUCAGCAUAGUGUUGCACUUUUAGUUCCUUUAGACAGGAAAAUAGGUGAGCUGGUUAACUGUGCCCCCACCUAUACUGGCAAGACAGGUGACAAGUUACUGUGCAGGGCUGUGUGACACAUUGUUUGGCACUUCUGCUGAAGGGUCACCAACACUGUAAUUCUACAGCAUUUUAAGUUACAGUGAUUGUUAAUUGACCCCAGACUUCACGUGAGAUUUGGGAAAGUAUUUAAUAUAAACUUUUUAAACACACAACACACUUGGCAUAACGAGUCUUUUGUGAGUAGUCUAUCCCAUUAUGAUUGAUGUGCACAAAGAUACAGUUUUAGCAUAGUUCAUUCAUUUUUUCUGCUGCCUUGUAUGAGUGAAACAGUAAAUGACAAGAUUUAUAGAAUUUAUUUUGAAAAAAGUAAUGUUUAUUUUCAGCUCCUGGGGGGAAGACACUUUCCCUCUAAGCUUUUGCCCCCAACUAGUCCAAGUACGUUCUAGGGGUUUCUGUAGCUUUUGUUAACAAUUCUUCCCAUGUUAGCUUUUAUCAUCAGCCCUUAAUUAGACAAAAAAUAGUUUUCCAGAUAAGAAAGUCCUAAGGAUAGUGUUUUCUUCUAUUUGGCAGAUAGAAUUCUCUCCCUGUGAAUUUUUCGUUGGUGCUGGACUAAUCAAAGAAAUAUUAGUCAAUAUAUGAAGCAGCCAUUACUUAUACCUGACCACCCAAGCUCAAGGCAAGAAAUAAUAACGUGUAUUAUAUCUUCAGCUGUCUCUGGCCCAUUCUGCAUGGCACACUUUAAGCCAGCGAUGCUGAGCAUUCAUGCCAAUUGGUGCUGAAAUGGCUUGGGGUCCCAUCAUUCUGCACGGCAUGAACUUGAGGUUUCUUGGCACUUGAUGGAGAUUGAACAGUUGUUGAAUGUGAAUUGGAAAAAAAACAAGUUCCAAACAUUAAAGAAAGCAUGGACACUACCUUGUUUUUUUGUUAAUCUAAUUAUUGAGUUAAUUUUUCAAACACCAGUUUUCCAAAGAUGAUUGAUCAUAUUGCAUGCUAAUUGUGAUUUUGUUGUAAAUUUCCAGUGCAGCUAAUUAAAAAAUUAUGAAACAUU